rnacentral:rRNA from 1 species
AGUGAACGCUGGCGGUAGGCCUAACACAUGCAAGUCGAACGGCAGCACAGUAAGAGCUUGCUCUUACGGGUGGCGAGUGGCGGACGGGUGAGGAAUACAUCGGAAUCUACUUUUUCGUGGGGGAUAACGUAGGGAAACUUACGCUAAUACCGCAUACGACCUACGGGUGAAAGCAGGGGAUCUUCGGACCUUGCGCGAUUGAAUGAGCCGAUGUCGGAUUAGCUAGUUGGCGGGGUAAAGGCCCACCAAGGGGACGAUCCGUAGCUGGUCUGAGAGGAUGGUAAGCCACACUGGAACGGAGACACGGUCCAGACUCCUGCGGGAGGCAGCAGUGGGGAAUAUUGGACAAUGGGCGCAAGCCUGAUCCAGCCAUACCGCGUGGGUGAAGAAGGCCUUCGGGUUGUAAAGCCCUUUUGUUGGGAAACAAAAGCAGCAGGUUAAUACCCCGCUGUUCUGACGGUACCCAAAGAAUAAGCACCGGCUAACUUCGUG